AGUCCGAGUUGUAAUUUGUAGAAGAUGCUUUGGGUGCUUGGCCCGGCCUAAGUUCCUUGGAACAGGACGUCGUAGAGGGUGAGAAUCCCGUAUGCGGCCGGUGUCGGCGCCCGUGUAAAGCUCUUUUGACGAGUCGAGUUGUUUGGGAAUGCAGCUCAAAAUGGGUGGUAAAUUUCAUCUAAAGCUAAAUAUGGGCCAGAGACCGAUAGCGCACAAGUAGAGUGAUCGAAAGAUGAAAAGCACUUUGGAAAGAGAGUUAAACAGUACGUGAAAUUGUUGAAAGGGAAGCGCUUGCAACCAGACUUGGGCGUCGCUGAUCAUCCAAAGAUACUCUUUGGUGCACUCGACGACGCACAGGCCAGCAUCGGUUGGAGUGGUGGGAGAAAGGUUACCGGAACGUGGCUCUUUUCGGAGAGUGUUAUAGCCGGCGACGCAAUACCGCCUACCCCGACCGAGGACCGCGCUUCGGCUAGGAUGCUGGCGUAAUGGUUGUAAGCGACCCGUCUUGAAACACGGACCAAGGAGUCUAACAUCUAUGCGAGUGUUUGGGUGUGAAACCCAUGCGCGGAAUGAAAGUGAACGUAGGUGAGAACCC
rnacentral:rRNA from 1 species